rnacentral:rRNA from 1 species
AGUGAACGCUGGCGGUAGGCCUAACACAUGCAAGUCGAACGGCAGCACAGGAGAGCUUGCUCUCUGGGUGGCGAGUGGCGGACGGGUGAGGAAUACAUCGGAAUCUACUCUGUCGCGGGGGAUAACGUAGGGAAACUUACGCUAAUACCGCAUACGACCUACGGGUGAAAGCAGGGGACCUUCGGGCCUUGCGCGAUUGAAUGAGCCGAUGUCGGAUUAGCUAGUUGGCGGGGUAAAGGCCCACCAAGGCGACGAUCCGUAGCUGGUCUGAGAGGAUGAUCAGCCACACUGGAACUGAGACACGGUCGAGACUCCUACGGGAGGCAGCAGUGGGGAAUAUUGGACAAUGGGCGCAAGCCUGAUCCAGCCAUACCGCGUGGGUGAAGAAGGCCUUCGGGUUGUAAAGCCCUUUUGUUGGGAAAGAAGUCCAGCUGGCUAAUACCCGGUUGGGAUGACGGUACCCAAAGAAUAAGCACCGGCUAACUUCGUGCCAGCCGCCGCCGUAA